UACGAAGGGGGCUAGCGUUGCUCGGAAUGACUGGGAGUAAAGGGCGCGUAGGCGGUUUUGACAGUCAGACGUGAAAUUCCUGGGCUCAACCUGGGGGCUGCGUUUGAUACGUCGGGACUGGAGUGCGGAAGAGGGUCGUGGAAUUCCCAGUGUAGAGGUGAAAUUCGUAGAUAUUGGGAAGAACACCGGUGGCGAAGGCGGCGACCUGGUCCUUGACUGACGCUGAGGCGCGAAAGCGUGGGUAGCAAACAGG
rnacentral:rRNA from 1 species